rnacentral:rRNA from 1 species
GACGUAGGGUCCGAGCGUUGUCCGGAGUUACUGGGCGUAAAGCGCGCGCAGGCGGUUGGUUGCGUCGGGUGUGAAAGCCCCCCGCUCAACUUGGGUGCUGCAUUUCAAACUGGAAGUCUAGAGUGCAGGAGAGGAGAAUGGAAUUCCUAGUGUAGCGGUGAAAUGCGUAGAGAUUAGGAAGAACACCAGUGGCGAAGGCGAUUCUCUGGACUGUAACUGACGCUGAGGCUCGAAAGCGUGGGGAGCAAACAGGAUUAGAUACCCCGGUAGUU